ACGGCCGUACCAUGCUGAAUAUACCGGUUCUCGUUAGAUCACCGAAGUUAAGCAUCAUUGGGCGCGGUCACAAUGACUUUUACAUGACCACCUGGGAACACUGCAUGCCGUU